rnacentral:lncRNA from 1 species
CAACGAAACAUGAAUGAAGGACAGCAUCUGCAAGUUAUCAAACAAAAUUGUUAGGAACAAAAUAAAGGCAAAUCUAACAGCACAUUAACUUGUAGGCAGUCUGUGUGCAUAAAUAAGAGUAAAACAAGCAAAAUGAGGCAAAAUCAGUGAAUACUAGUAACUAUCAGCAGCAAGUAAAAACUACUCCAAUCACACCAGGUUUACAAUCCUAUAAAUGCGACAUUUUUAUCAUUUUUAUCAUUUAAGCAUGGAACGAUUUGAUUCAAGAGUACAAACUUGCUACACUAUACAAGGGUAAUUCAAGACAAGUUAACAUAAGAAGUUGACAAAACAAACAUAAACACGUGCAAAUCAGUUAAUUGAACAUUCUGAAGAUCCAGUAAAAGAAGUAAUUCAAGACAAGUUAAUUUGUUGUCGCAGUAGAAUUCUCCUAUAGGCUCUGAAUCUGCAAGGGAAGUUCAAUAUACAUCCCUUGGUAGUACUCAAAUCAGCCCAAGACCAAGAUAAUUUUUUAACAAAACUAUAGAAGCUACUCCAUGCUUUAACAAAAAUACAUAAACUACAUAAGCUGCACAUUCAGGUUGUGAUACUCCCAUCUUAUGCAAUUUGACUCAUAGAACAAGAAACCACAACAUAACUGAUUUUGAACAUUCCAUGCAAAAUACGGUAAAUAGGUCUUGUAUCUACUCCUUGGCUACUGUUAUUUCAACUGUAAAUUUAGCCAGCAAUCAUCAUCAGCAAGUACAGACACUAGUAGAAUAAGAGUCAUUUGUCCCGGUUCAUAAGGGCCUUUAGUCCCGGUUCUGGAACCGGGACUAAAGGGUCGUUACUAAAGCCUCCCCCCUUUAGUCCCGAUUCUUACACGAACCGGGACUAAAGGCCGUCCACGUGGCCGCUGUCUGGAGCUCCACCUUUAGUCCCGGUUGGUAACACCAACCGGUACUAAAGGUAUUUUUACGAAAAAAAGUUUGAAUUUUUUUUAAUUUUUUUGAAUUUUUUUCGAUUUUCAAAUUUCUGAAUUAUUUUCCAAUUUAAUCUCUAAUCACUGCUCAAUUUAACCUCUAAUCUCUAAUCACCCAUCAUCAUUCCAAAUCAUCUAACUUCCCGGCCAGUCACCCAUCCUCUGACUACUCCAACCUGAGCACUAUUAACUUUCGGGUUCUAUUCCCCCUCGUUUCCAAGUCUGCACUGGUUGUUUACCUGACAAUAGAAAGAUGUCAAUCCUAUUAACCCUCGGGAGUUUAGCUUGACAUGAAGUCACAUGUUUCACUGUUUGAGUUUGAAACUAUUAUUCUAAAAAACAAUAAUUAUUUAGUAACACUAAUAUUUCUUCAAUAAGUAGUUUGACCAUAGUUUGACCACAGUUUGACCAGAUUUGACCAAAAUUCAAAAAAAUUGAAAUAAUUAUUUAGUAACACUAAUAUUCUUGAAUAAUUAUGUAGUAACACUAAUAUUUCUUGAAUAAGUAGUUUGACCAUAGUUUGACCACAGUUUGACCAGAUUUGACCACAGUUUGACCAGAUUUGACCAAAAUUCUAAAAAACUGUAAUAAUUAUUUAGUAACACUCAUAUUAUUGAAUAAUUAUUUAGUAACACUAAUACUUCUUGAAUAAGUAGUUUGACCUGAUUUAACCAAAAUUCAAAAAAAAUUGAAAACUGAGCAUAAUUUUUUUUCCUUUUAGAAUUUGAGGAUUCUCAAAAUUUGCAAACAGGCUAUAGGCGGUCAAAAUCGGAUGCGGAUUUUUGUGCUGAACAUUUUGAUAUAUUAUACGUUUUUUUCUAACAUCAUAUGCAAAAGUUAUAGCCGUUUUACGUUUUCCCUACACUUUUUGCAAAACAUGUCCAAAUUUAAGUUUUUAAAUUUUCCUAACUAGUACAUGUAGUAACAUAACUACAUCUGGAAGGAUUUUAAUUUUUGAAGUUUUUAUCAUUUUCUUUAGCUUUUUACAAAACUGAAAAGGCGAUGGGGGGGGGGGGUAGAGUUUGAAAAUGGGACCUUUAGUACCGGUUCGUGCCACGAACCGAUACUAAUGCCUCAAACCCCAUUAGUACCGGUUGGUGGCUCGAACCGGGACUAAAGGUGUAACCUUUAGUACCGGUUGGUACCACGAACCGGUACUAAUGGGCAUCGCACCCUUUAGUCCUGGUUCGUGGCACCAACCGGGACUGAAGGUCCCAUUUGAACCGGGACUAAUGCCUGUACAGUGCCCUAGCCGCUCGAACUGGCUCACAUUAGUCCCGGUUCGUAAUGCAACCGGGAUUAAUGCUCUUUUCUGGCCGAACCAAAGCCAUGUUUUCUACUAGUGAGAGUAAACUGGGACUUUGUUGUAGCUAUAGAAACUGAAACAACACACACAUCAUGGAAUUUCAUAUCAUAGCCAACAAAUAUUUUACCAGAACACAGGGUGUUCUUCUCUGUAUUUUAGAAACAUUCAAACAAAGGUUUCAGUACAAUCAGACAAGUGGAGUAGACAAGUUUCAGAACUGAAUGUGUUCGCACAGUUUGGUUUAUUUGCUCGGUUUAUUUAAACAAAAGUUUCUGUACAAAUAGACAAGUGGAGUAGCAUGUGUUUACUUUGCAUGCUCAAGGUACACUAGUCUGAUGAAAACAAUAUGCUCGAGGUACAUUAGCUUGCAUGCUUGGAGUACAUUCAAAAAUUCUGAACAACAUCAAAUUGGCUAAAUAACUUGGCCUAGAACACCAAUCUUAAAGUGAAUUUAUGAGAGCAGUACAUUCAUGAAGUUCUACUCUGAAUUUUAACUUUCUUUCUCUGAAUUUUCUGCAGCAGGGUAAUAUCUCAACAGAAAACAACACUGUAAACAGGCAAUUGACUAAAACCCGGAGUACUAAGAUAGGGAAUGCCUGCAUUCAUUUCAGCAAUUGGCGUUGGACAUACGACAACCCCUUGAAGUACACCUAAAUUUAUACUGACUUCCUUGCUCUAUGACUAAAACCCGGAGUACAAACAUAAGGAAUUGAAAUGCCUGCAUUCAUUUCAGCAAGCAAACUAGUAGAUCUUGGAGGUUGAAGACUAAGAUUAAGGAGUAACUUAAUCAAAAGGGCCUAGCAAGCUAGCACAAGCAUCUACAGCCGUCUUAAUCAAUCAAAGGGCAGGAGUAGCUUAAUCCAUACCCUUAUCCAUGAAUUAUAGGUAGGACUUGAUCUUGGAGGUUGGCGUUGGGCUCUUGGUGGUGCUGCCAGCCCGCCGCCUUCCCUCAGCGCUUGAGUAGGCGAUCAACUCCCUGUAGUACGCCAUCCUUGCGUUCAUACUCAUAGCAAGGGCGGUAGACCGGGAGGGCGCACUCAUUGCAGGCGACAAAGACAUCGCAAGUGGCCGAAAUGCCAAGAGUGUCACCACAUAUCUGGCAGGCCUGACCACCCGCGCCUUUCAACUCCUUACCCUGCAUCAGCAAGAUCAAAACAAGGUCAGCACACACCCCUACGAAAUUAACACAACUUGCUAGGAGACACAGCAAUUCCUCAUGUAGCAUAGUCGGUCCAUCAGCAAUUGAUCAUCUGCUUGGCUUAUAGUUGAGACUAUGAUCCAAGUGGCAUCAAUUGCAUGAUGUUAUGGUAAGGUAGGAUCAUCAGUGAAUACUAAACAAGUCCCAAUAUAUCAGUGAGGUCUGGAACAGAAAACAUCUCUCAAUUGCUCCACCACUCAUGAAUUAACAGAGAGGGGAAAUGCGCCAAAUCAACGAAUCCAGAUCGCAACUACGCGCACCCCCACAGAUUCAUACAUAACCGGGGGGAAUUGGAGCUGUUACACCUAACCCCGCAACCUAGAUCCACCGCCUCGCGUGCGCCAGAUCCACGGACGCGCGCACCGCAUGAAGGAGCUGUGACGAGCAGAGAUGACACCGACAAAUUAAGGCGCCGAGGCAGGCACGAAGGGUGAGAGAGGGGGGAGACAAACGUACCCAUCAUGGUCGGAGAUCCGUGGUCACCAUGGCCGGAGAUGGACGGCUGCCGGCGCGCGUGGUGGAGGUCGACGAAGAACCGACAUCGUGGUUGAAGCUGUAGACGACGGCGUCGUGGUUGAAGCAGUAGACGACGCAAUAGCUAAUCACCAGGGCCAUCACGACAGGAUGCUCCGGGACCCACCGAGAGAAGGUGGGUGCGGAUACACCGUCACCGCCCUGUCCCUAUCCAUCCAUGGGCGAUGGGUGGGUUUCGGGCGCUGUCGCCACAUCCGUACAUCUCAGGAGGGAGGGAGGGAGGUCGCCGGUGGGGGUGGUAGUCGGCCAUCGACGGGAUUGGAGAGGAAUCGGGGGAGGGAGAGGAAUUGAGUGGAUCUCCAGCCAGGGAGGGAAGGGGAGGUGGAUGCCAUGGUUGUGGUCGCCGACGGUGUUGAAGUGGUGAGUGCCUCCAUGGGAGAGAGAGAGGGGACGCUGGAGAGAGGUGGCCAUGGCGUCGAUCUAGGGUUUCGACGUGGAGAGAAGGAGAGGGUGGAGUGGAAGGCGGAGGUCGCCGGCGGGUAUGAAGUAGAGGAUGUCGCCAGGGCAGUCGAGGAGUGAGGGUGGAGGUCACCGGCGGGGCCGGGGCUGGGUUUGGGGAAGUGGAGAUCGGCGGCNNNNNNNNNNNNNNNNNNNNNNNNNNNNNNNNNNNNNNNNNNNNNNNNNNNNNNNNNNNNNNNNNNNNNNNNNNNNNNNNNNNNNNNNNNNNNNNNNNNNNNNNNNNNNNNNNNNNNNNNNNNNNNNNNNNNNNNNNNNNNNNNNNNNNNNNNNNNNNNNNNNNNNNNNNNNNNNNNNNNNNNNNNNNNNNNNNNNNNNNNNNNNNNNNNNNNNNNNNNNNNNNNNNNNNNNNNNNNNNNNNNNNNNNNNNNNNNNNNNNNNNNNNNNNNNNGGCAGCGGGUGGGAAUCUGGGGGAUCGAGGGGAGGGUGGGUGGGUGGGUUAGGGUUUUUGAUUCUCGGGAUAAGCUCCACCGUUGGAUGGAUGCGUGAUGGAUGGCUCAGAUUGCGUCCAAUUUGGUGAUCCGCAUGAAAGCGGUUCCUCGCGUCUCAUUGGCCGGCUAUCUCGCACUUGAAUCUCAAAAUUUUGGACCCAAAACUUUGAAUUUUUUUAAACAUAACAAUGGCAUAGUUUGUCAAAAUGAUCUCGUUUUUUUCAUAAGUGUGCAUCUUAGAAUGGCAAACGAUGCCAUAGUUCGACGCCUUUUAUUUUCUUUGCACAAAAAGACAAUUUUCCAUUUUUCGAGUGCAUAAAAAGGUUUUUUUGUGAAGAAGCUACCAAAUAUUUGUUCCAGAAUAGCACAACUCCAUGUUUCAAAAAUAUUAGACCACAUUUUAUGUAAAAUUGACCAAAUAGUUACAUGUCAAAAGCAUUUGAUCCACCUCUUAUAAAAAAACAAAUUUCACCCAUUCAGUAGGAAGCGGGGAAAUUUGAACGAAAAUUUGUUCAAAUGAUUUCAUAUUGUGCACAAGGGUGCAUAUUGGAAUGGCAAACAAUGUUGCCUAAGGAAGUUUUCAUUUUCUUUGGACGAAAAAAAUCAUUUUCCAUUUCCCGAGUGCCCAAAAUGAGUUUUUUUGUGACGGACCUACCAAAUAAUUGUUGCAAAUUUGGACCAAAUCAAUUUUAUAAAAUACUAGGCCAUAUUUAAUGAACAAUUGACCAAAUUGUUGGGUGUCACAAUCUUUGAUCCACCUCUGGUGAAAAAGACAAAUUUCUGCCGAUUCAGUUGGAAGCGGGUCAAAUUUGAACUGCAGCUGCCUCAUAGUUUUCUCUAUAUUUUUUCCAAAAAUCAUUUUAGGUACAAAAGUAUCUAUUUAAUCAGAGAAACAACAAAUUUUUUCCAAGAUUCAACCACUAGCUAGGAACGGUCAAGCCGGCCGUUUUGACCGCAUUUUGAAACGGGCAUACAAAAUUCAAACAAAAUCAAAAAAUGGAAAACCUUCGCAUUGUGUCAUUAUAUGUGGCCAAGUUACCAGGAAAAAUAAUAAACUUGUAAUACGAUAAUUAUUUUAAAAAAGUGUUCUCAGAAACGAGCUAUCAUGUGUGGAGAUCAAUGGCUUUCAAGCCAAAUGAUCAAUCUUAUGGCCACAUUCAUGGCAUAGUUUGUUCAAAUGAUCUCAUAUUGUGCACAAGGUGCAUAUUGGAAUGGCAAACAAUGUUGCCUAAGGAAGUUUUCAUUUUCUUUGGACGAAAAAAUCAUUUUCCAUUUUUCGAGUGCCCAAAAUGAGUUUUUUUUGUGAAGGACCCACCAAAUAAUUGUUGCAAAUUUGGACCAAAUAAAUUUUAUAAAAUACUAGGCCAUAUUUAAUGCACAAUUGACCAAAUUGUUGGGUGUCACAAGCUUUGAUCCACCUCUGGUGAAAAGACAAAUUUCCGCCAAUUCAGUUAGAAGCCGGUCAAAUUUGAACUGCAGCUGCCUCGUAGUUUGCUCUAUAUUUUUUUUCCAAAAAUCAUUUUUAGGUACAAAAGUAUCUAUUUAAUCAUAGAAACACCAAAACAUUUCCAAGAUUCAACCACUAGCUAGGAACGGUCAAACCGACUGUUUUGACCGCAUUUUGAAACGGGCAUAAAAAAUUCAAAAAAAAUCAAAAAAAUGAAAAACCUUCGCAUUGUGUCAUUAUAUGUGGCCAAGUUACCAGGAAAAUAAUAAACUUUUAAUAUGAUUAUUAUUUUAAAAAAGUAUUCUUAGAAACGAGCUAUCAUGUGUGGAGAUCAAUGACUUUCAAGCCAAAUGAUCAAUCUUAUGGCCACAUUCAUGGCAUAGUUUGUUCAAAUGAACUCAUAUUGUGCACAAGGGUGCAUAUUGGAAUGCCAAACAAUGUUGCCUAAGGAAGUUUUCAUUUUCUUUGGACGAAAAAACCAUUUUCCAUUUUUUGAGUGCCCAAAAUGAGUUUUUUUGUGAAGGACCUACCAAAUAAUUGUUGCAAAUUUGGACCAAAUAAAUUUUAUAAAAUACUAGGCCAUAUUUAAUGCACAAUUGACCAAAUGGUUGGGUGUAAAAAGCUUUGAUCCACCUCUGGUGAAAAAGACAAAUUUCUGCCGAUUUAGUUGGAAGCGGGUCAAAUUUGAACUGCAGCUGCCUCGUAGUUUGCUCUAUAUUUUUUCCAAAAAUCUUUUUUAGGUACAAAAGUAUCUAUUUAAUCAGAGAAACACCAAAAAAUUUCCAAGAUUCAACAACUAGCUAGGAACGGUCAAGCGGACCGUUUUGACCGCAUUUUGAAACAGGCAUAAAAAAUUCAAAAAAAUUAAAGAAAAUGGAAAACCUUCGCAUUGUGUCAUUAUAUGUGGCCAAGUUACCAGGGAAAAUAAUAAACUUGUAAUACAAUAAUUAUUUUUAAAAAGUGUUCUCAGAAACGAACUAUCAUGUGUGGAGAUCAAUGGCUUUCAAGCCAAAUGAUCAAUCUUAUGGCCACAUUCAUGGCAUAGUUUGUUCAAAUGAUUUCAUAUUGUGCACAAGGGUGCAUAUUGGAAUGGCAAACAAUGUUGCCUAAGGAAGUUUUCAUUUUCUUUGGACGAAAAAAAAUCAUUUUCCAUUUUCCGAGUGCCCAAAAUGAGUUUUUUGUGAAGGACCUACCAAAUAAUUGUUGCAAAUUUGGACCAAAUAAAUUUUAUAAAAUACUAGGCUAUAUUUAAUGCACAAUUGACAAAAUGGUUGGGUGUCCAAAGCUUUUGAUACACCUCUGGUGAAAAAGACAAAUUUCUGCCGAUUCAGAAGGAAGCGGGUCAAAUUUGAACUGCAACUGCCUCGUAGUUUGCUCUUUAUUUUUUCCAAAAAUCAUUUCUAGUUACAUAAGUACAUAUUUAAUCAGAAACACAUGGUUUGGGGGCGAUACAUCAAGGUUUGGACGGUGGUCGAGGGCCCCAACUCCAGAGCGCGUAAACUCGCAUGCCCGCCGCAUGGUCACCGCGUGACCGUGGCGUUGCCUUGCGUUCUGGGCGGCCUAGGCAUGUCUAGUGGGUUGGGCACUCCCCAGGUAGGUGCUAUGAAGAAAAUUACAACAUAAGAUUCUCACGAGGAGACCGAACUGUGCUCAAGCAUGAAUUAGCAGCCAAGUGUUUGAUUAGCGGUACGGGAAAUGCG